CCUACGGGAGGCAGCAGUGAGGAAUAUUGGUCAAUGGCCGGGAGGCUGAACCAGCCAAGUCGCGUGAGGGAAGACGGCCCUACGGGUUGUAAACCUCUUUUGUCAGGGAGCAAGGUGCAGGUCGGGAACGGCUGUGAGAGGACCUGAAGAAAAAGCAGCGGCUCACUCCGUGCCAGCAGCCGCGGUAAUACGGCGGAUGCGAGCGUUAUCCGGAUUGAUUGGGUUUCAAGGGUGCGCAGGCGGAGGCACAAGUCAGCGGUAAAAUCGCGGGGCUCAACCCCGCUCCGCCGUUGAAACGUUGUCCCUUGAGUUCGCGACGGGUCGGCGGAAUGCGUUGUGUAGCGGUGAAAUGCAUAGAUCUCACGCAGAACUCCGAUCGCGAAGGCAGCCUACCGGCGCGCACCUGCCGCUCAUGCACGAAAGCGUGGGUAUCGAACCGGAUUAGAUACCCCAGUAGUC
rnacentral:rRNA from 1 species